rnacentral:lncRNA from 1 species
CUGGAGAUUGCCUAAACUCUGGGAGUUGCUUGCCGCUGUCAGCGUAAGCGGUCGAUGCCAAUUACUGGCUCAGGUGAGGCUUAAGGCUAAUGUAUCUACUAAUUAUUCCGUGCCCUGUGCGAGCUAAAUAUCUACUAAUUAUUCCGUGCCCCGUACGAGCUAAAUUCUUGUAUUCCUUUUCUUGUUUAGACACUUCAUCUAGAUAAGUUUGCAAUUAUUAUUUGAAUUU